rnacentral:rRNA from 1 species
GAACUGUAGAGUUUGAUCCUGGCUCAGAUUGAACGCUGGCGGCAUGCCUUACACAUGCAAGUCGAACGGUAACAGGUCUUCGGAUGCUGACGAGUGGCGAACGGGUGAGUAAUACAUCGGAACGUGCCCAGA